GUCAUUCACCAUCAAACCAGCAGUUUCCUCAUAAACCUGAAUAGUGGCAGAAUCUCCUUCUAACCUAAUGAUUUCACCAAUCAGAUUAUCAUGACCAACACGAACCAAUUCAUACAUGGCUGCACCUCCCAUGCCAUCUGCCACGACGACUGGUCCAGAUACCUUCCGGACAUAUCCAUACUCGCUUUCCUUCUCAGAGUCUUCAAAAGUGGUCACACGAGCUCCAUAGACGGACGGCAUUGUGGAAGAGAAUUGAUCGGAAAGAAAGCAGAUCGAAUUGUUAGCAGGAGACAAGAAUGAUCAAACAAAGAAACAAGAAUCGACCAAAACCCUAAAGUCCCGAUCGAGCUGGAGAAGGAGAUGGAGAUCGGAAGCGAGCAAGGAAGAGAGGGAGGGAAGGAGAGGAGUGUG
rnacentral:misc_RNA from 1 species